rnacentral:rRNA from 1 species
UGGGGAAUAUUGCACAAUGGGCGCAAGCCUGAUGCAGCCAUGCCGCGUGUGUGAAGAAGGCCUUCGGGUUGUAAAGCACUUUCAGCGGGGAAGAAGGCGAUAAGGGUAAUAACCUUGUCGAUUGACGUUACCCGCAGAAGAAGCACCGGCUAACUCCGUGCCAGCAGCCGCGGUAAUACGGAGGGUGCAAGCGUUAAUCGGAAUUACUGGGCGUAAAGCGCACGCAGGCGGUCUGUCAAGUCGGAUGUGAAAUCCCCGGGCUCAACCCGGGAAUUGCAUCUGAUACUGGUCAGCUAGAGUCUUGUAGAGGGGGGUAGAAUUCCAUGUGUAGCGGUGAAAUGCGUAGAGAUGUGGAGGAAUACCGGUGGCGAAGGCGGCCCCCUGGACAAAGACUGACGCUCAGGUGCGAACGCGUGGGGAGCAAACAGG